ACCCGGCACCCCCGCGCCGCCGGGGGCUCGUCACCGACAGCACGGCACCGGCUGCCCGUGGGAGCGCGGGGAGCGCUGGUUCGCUUGCAAGUAAAGGAGAAACAGGUCACCAGGAGCAGUCAGCAUGGGUUCAAGGGGAAGUCAUGCCUGGCCAACCUGUCUGCAGAUGACCAAACUCGGGAGAAGCGGCUGAUAAAUCAGGGGUCGUGCUGCCAUGCAGAGGGACCCGGACGUGUUGGAGAGCGGGGCUGACAGGAACCUCCUGCAGUUCAACAAGAAGAACUGCCAGGCCCGGCCCCUGGGGAGGAACAAGCCCAGCACCAGGACAGGCCGGGGGCACCCGGCUUGGAAGCAGUCGGGCACAGAAGGACCUGGGGUCCUGGUGGGCACCGCGGUGGGCAGGAGCCAGCAAAGGGCCCUUGGGCAGAGAGGGCUGGCGGUGUCCUGUCUGUGGUAGGACAGCCGGGGGGGGAUCCUGCCCCUCUGCUGGGCGCUGGGGAGUCCUGGGGAGUCCUGGGGAGUCCUGGGCCCCCAGCACUGAGAGAGCUGGGCCCAGCGGGGAGAGCCCAGGCCGGGGCCCCCAGGGUGCUGCCGGGCCCGGAGCCCCCGUGCUGUGAGGAGAGGCUGCGAGAGCUGGGGCUGCUGGGCCUGGAGCAGAGGCGGCUCCAGGGGAGCUCCCCCAUGGCCGUCAGUACCCGCAGGGAGGUGCGGAGAGGCCGGAGCCGGGCUCUGCUCAGCGGUGCCCAGGGCCGG